AAUACAUGCAGUCGAGCGAGCUGAAUUCAAAGAUCCCUUCGGGGUGAUUUGUUGGACGCUAGCGGCGGAUGGGUGAGUAACACGUGGGCAAUCUGCCCUAAAGACUGGGAUACCACUUGGAAACAGGUGCUAAUACCGGAUAACAACAUGAAUCGCAUGAUUCAAGUUUGAAAGGCGGCGCAAGCUGUCACUUUAGGAUGAGCCCGCGGCGCAUUAGCUAGUUGGUGGGGUAAAGGCCUACCAAGGCAAUGAUGCGUAGCCGAGUUGAGAGACUGAUCGGCCACAUUGGGACUGAGACACG
rnacentral:rRNA from 1 species